GCUUUUAGUAUGGGAGGGCGUAUUCUUGACUCAUUUUGUAGUUCACUCUCGCCUUCUAUGGUUGAAGCUCUUGUAUGUACUCAAAAUUGGCUUCGAAGCAACCUUCCAAUUUCUCUUCGAAAGGUGAUGGAUGAUGUGAAAGAAUUUGAGCAAUACGACUCAGGUACUUUGGAGUCAAGCUCAUCUUCAACUUCAACUUCAACUUCAACUUCAACUUCAACUUCAACCUAUAAUGUUGAUGCUAUAAUUGAUGUCUAAUAUCCAUUUGCUCAUUGGGUUCAUCAACCAAAUGCAUGGAAUUAGAAUUGGAAUUGGAAUUGGAAUUGGAAUUGGAAUUUGUAAAAGUUGAAUUGGAUAUGAUUCAUGAAGAUGAAGUUUGAUAUCUUAGAAAUGUUUUAAUUUUAUUUCAUGGGUUUGUAUUGAAUGAAGUUUGACAACAA